UAUACCCGUGGAGUAUUUCAUUCCUCCUCCUGAAAUGGUUUUCUUAUAACAUAAUCACUGGGUUGAGUACAGACUGAAGUUUGCUGGUCCAUUAGCAGUUUGCAUUUUACAUUAUGGGUUGGCUGACCAAGAUCUUUAAAGGUUCUAGCGGUAAAAUCUCAUCAGGACAGUAUCAGGGGAAAUACAAAGAUGAUGGAAUUUGGGAAGAGCCUCGCUAUUCGGUGCAGGAUAAUUUGUCAGAUUUUGACAAAGAAGAGAUUGAGUGUGCCAUUGCACUCUCCCUUUCGGAACAAGAUCAAAUUUCUCAACAGGAUUUGAAAGGGAAAAAACCAAUUGAUGAUGAAUCUCAAUCCCUGGAAGAUGAAGGAUGUUUGACAAUUGAGUCGGAUGAGGAUGAAAAAUGUGGCAAAACUGUGUCGGAGGAAGAUGAAAAACAAUGUAACAAAGCUGGAUUGGAAGAAGAUGAACCGUUUUGUACUGAAGCACAGGUUGAGGAAGAUGAAAAACUGGCAAAGGCUAUUCAAGAAAGUUUGAAUAUGGAUUCUCCUCCCCAAAACAUAUUUCGGCCUUUUCCUUUCUUCUUCCCAAGUAGUUAUAGGAUCUGUGCGGGUUGCAAUAGCGAAAUUGGCCAUGGAAGAUUUUUAAGUUGCAUGGGUGCCGUUUGGCAUCCUGAAUGUUUUCGUUGCCAUUCGUGCAACCUGCCAAUCGGUGAUUAUGAGUUUUCAGUGUCUGGAAAUCGGCCUUACCACAAAUCUUGUUAUAAGGAGCACCAUCGACCAAAAUGUGAUGUUUGCCGGAACUAUAUUCCUACAAAUGGAGCUGGCCUGAUCGAGUACAGGGCACAUCCUUUUUGGCUUCAAAAGUACUGCCCUUCACAUGAGCGUGAUGGGACACCCAGGUGUUGUAGUUGUGAAAGAAUGGAGCCAAGGGAAACAAGAUAUCUAUUACUUGAUGAUGGUCGAAAGUUAUGUCUUGAAUGCCUUGAUUCUGCAAUUAUGGAUACUAAUGAAUGCCAGCCCUUAUACCUUGAAAUACGAGAAUUCUAUGAAGGUUUAAAUAUGAAAGUAGAGCAACAAAUUCCUUUGCUCCUGGUAGAGAGACAAGCCUUAAAUGAGGCUAUGGAGGGAGAAAAGAAUGGACACCAUCAUCUACCUGAAACCAGAGGACUUUGCCUGUCUGAAGAACAGACUGUUACCACCGUUUCGAAAAGGCCAAGGGUUGGGGCAGGCUACCGAUUCAUAGACAUGAUAACAGAGCCUUUUAGGCUGGUACGACAAUGUGAGGUGACUGCCAUCCUCAUUUUGUAUGGGCUUCCUAGGUUGCUGACAGGUUCAAUCCUGGCACAUGAGAUGAUGCAUGCUUGGCUUCGGCUUAAAGGAUAUCCAAAUCUUAGUCCAGAGGUAGAAGAAGGUAUAUGUCAGGUGCUGGCUCAUAUGUGGCUGGAUUCUGAGAUAUAUUCCGGAUCUGGAAGUGAAGCUGCUUCAUCAUCUUCCUCUUCAUCACCAUCACCAUCACCAGCUUCAUCUUCCUCCACAUCAUCAAAGAAGGGUAAACGGUCUGAUUUUGAGAAGAAGCUUGGUGAUUUUUUUAAGCACCAGAUUGAAUCAGAUACAUCAUCAGCUUAUGGAGAUGGAUUCAGGCGUGGGAAUGAGGCAGUGCUUAAGUAUGGCCUCAGGAGGACUCUCGAUCAUAUCCGGUUGACAGGGACCUUUCCUUGUUGAUUUUCUUCACCUCUUGCUCCUUUUGUUUCAUGGCAGUGAUGAUACUCCCUUGGUGGAGAUUUCUGUUUCUUUUUAAGGUUAUGAACUAAGAAACCCUGCUGUGUGCUCAUUUGGUGACUCAGAAGUUGAUGUAACUUUUAUCAUAAGCAACAGGGUUGUUUCUUUUCCUCCCAUAGGAGUAGUCAGAGAUAAGCAGCAUAAUUGAUAAUAUCAUAAGAGGAAAUGCUCAAAAAGCCAACCUUGAAGAACGGAUACAGCUCGUUCGGGCAAUCAUCGCUGGGUCUCCAGGCAUUGUUUUGGACGACACCAAGCUGUUGUAAGGCCUGCUGUUGGCGAAGCUGGUGAUCAAUGUACUUUAAUUUGGAGUAGCCAGCUUCAACAUUAGAUGACGUCAUUGCAGCUCUUUGUGACCAAUCUUCUUCUCCUAAACUCUUUCUUGUGGCAUUGACUUGAACUGAUAUUACAUCUUUAAGACACCUGAAUUGCUUCGUUAUUGUUUGCAAACCAAGUGCACUGUAUGAUUUCGCCGAAUCCAACCGUGCAACAUUUGAUGUUGCAUAGUUAUGAGUGAUUAAAUAUAGAUCACUUAUAAUUUUGAUGUAUGAUUGUGCACAUAUGUAAAUGAAAGCAAGUAGUUCCAGAUA